GAUGAACGCUGGCGGCGUGCUUAACACAUGCAAGUCGAACGAUGAAGCCCAGCUUGCUGGGUGGAUUAGUGGCGAACGGGUGAGUAACACGUGAGUAACCUGCCCUUGACUCUGGGAUAAGCCUGGGAAACUGGGUCUAAUACUGGAUAUGACUUCUCAUCGCAUGGUGGGGGGUGGAAAGAUUUAUUGGUCUUGGAUGGACUCGCGGCCUAUCAGCUUGUUGGUGGGGUAUUGGCUCACCAAGGCGACGACGGGUAGCCGGCCUGAGAGGGUGACCGGCCACACUGGGACUGAGACACGGCCCAGACUCCUACGGGAGGCAGCAGGGGGGAAUAUUGCACAAUGGGCGGAAGCCUGAUGCAGCAACGCCGCGUGAGGGAUGACGGCCUUCGGGUUGUAAACCGCUUUCGGUAGGGAAGAAGCGAGAGUGACGGUACCUGCAGAAGAAGCGCCGGCUAACUACGUG
rnacentral:rRNA from 1 species